rnacentral:rRNA from 1 species
AUGUUGGGUUAAGUCCCGCAACGAGCGCAACCCUUGUCCUCUGUUGCCAUCAGGUUAUGCUGGGCACUCUGAGGAGACUGCCGGUGAUAAACCGGAGGAAGGUGGGGAUGACGUCAAGUCAGCAUGGCCUUUAUGUCUGGGGCUACACACGUGCUACAAUGGCCGGUACAAACCGUCGCGAUACCGCAAGGUGGAGCUAAUCGGAGAAAGCCGGUCUCAGUUCGGAUUGCAGGCUGCAACUCGCCUGCAUGAAGUUGGAAUCGCUAGUAAUCGCGGAUCAGCACGCCGCGGUGAAUACGUUCCCGGGCCUUGUACACACCGCCCGUCACAUCACGAAAGCUGGCUGUACUAGAAGUCGCCGAGCUAACCCGCAAGGGAGGCAAGCGCCUAAGGUAUGGUUAGUGAUUGGGGUGAAGUCGUAACAAGGUAA